AAAAAAAACAAUAACUUAUGAUCCAGGCAUUCUCAACGGUUCUCGCAAAUGUAAAUAAGAUCCACAAACGACCUCAGCGCGUAUAUUGCCAUUUCUGUCCCACCAUAGACUCAAUUAAUGCUCGUUUUUUUCCUCUCUUGGUAUCGAAUUUUUCCUCAUGAAUGCUCUUUCAGCGAAUAAUAUUUGUGUAUAAUUAGGCACGUUCAUAGAUUUCUAUUUCAGUCAGGUCUUUAAAUUUAAUUGUGUGAACUUUACCUAUUUACCUUCCAACUUUAGUCAAUUUGAGAACGUUUUUGUCUAAAAUAAUUGUUGAGAUAUUAUAAUAAUCUAUGUUUAAGUCACAUUAACAAAAAAAAAAAAAAAAAAAAAAAAAAAAAGAACUAAAACUAAAUUGAUAUCGAUGAUAAACUAUCAGAAAACCUAUAAUAUGCUAUAUGAAAAACAAAUUAUCAUUUUUAUAUUUUUUAUCGAAAACUCAAAUAAUCAGGUACUAAUUAUUUUAUCAGCUCGUAUUUAUAAAUGUUGAACAAUUAUUUUGUUAUUCUCGAUUUGUUGAGAUAUUAUUAAGAUAAUUCCUGUAAACUUUAUCAAAAAUAGCGGUACGCAUUGAAAAUGUAUAAAACCAAAACAUUCUGAAAAAAUAAAUAAAUAUUCUAAACUAGAUAAAACAAAACGUUAACAAACUUGUCUACCGUUCUACCGUCCACCAACAAUAAUGUACAAAAGCGUAAUACAGGUGUGCGCUACUCAUGUCUAAUGAUUUCCGUGGUCUACCUAAUAAUAAAUAAAAAAUAUACUAUAUACAUAAGUACAGGUGAGUGGUUCGUUUCGUGUACAAUGCAUAUUUGAUAAUGUUUAAAGAGCAAAUUAUAUUGCCGAUCUUCCACACGGGCCUUCUGUAUAUUAUUUAUUGUUCAGUAUAAUGUAUAUAAAAGUAACAUAAAGAAAAAAGGCGGACUUACUUGGCACGAUGGGUGAGCCGCUGUUGUAGGU